rnacentral:tRNA from 1 species
GGCAUACACUACGUGGUUAAGAACUUGGCUGCUAACCAAAUGGUCGGCAGUUCAAAUCUGCCUGCC